rnacentral:rRNA from 1 species
GAGUACGUGAAACUGCUUAGAGGUUAAACCCGAUGAACUUGAAUAUCCAUUAUGGAAAAUUCAUCAUUAAUACUAUUAAUAUUUAUAAUAUUAUAGAAAUAGUGUGCAAUUUUUCCAUAUAAGGACAUUGUAAUCUGUUAAUGUAAUAAAUACUUAUCAAAAGAUCCUUUACACAAGUUUAUUCAAAUUAGUUUUUUUCGGAUUGCUAACAUAAAAUAAAUGUUUUGGAUUUGAUAAAUCAUUGACAGAUAUAAUUAUAUAUUGUGCUUAAAUUUUUCGGAAUUUUACAAUGAUAAAUAAAUCUAUUGAUUUAUUUAUAUAAAUUGUAUGCGCUUUUAUGAUUAACAAUGCGAUAGAUUCAGGAUACCUUCGGGACCCGUCUUGAAACACGGACCAAGGAGUCUAACAUAUGUGCAAGUCAUUGGGUAUUUUCAAUAAAAUCCAAUGGCAUAAUUAACUUAACUGUUAAAAUGGGAUUAGUUUACAUUUUAUUAUGAAAUAUGAAUUCAAUCCCGGGGCGUUCUAUAUAGUUAUGCAUAAUGAUAUUUAUAUUAUUUAUGUCUCUAACUAGAGCGUACCUUGAGCAUAUAUGCUGUGACCCGAAAGAUGG